rnacentral:rRNA from 1 species
UACAGGCUUAACACAUGCAAGUCGAGGGGCAGCAUGGUCUUAGCUUGCUAAGGCCGAUGGCGACCGGCGCACGGGUGAGUAACACGUAUCCAACCUGCCGUCUACUCUUGGACAGCCUUCUGAAAGGAAGAUUAAUACAAGAUGGCAUCAUGAGUCCGCAUGUUCACAUGAUUAAAGGUAUUCCGGUAGACGAUGGGGAUGCGUUCCAUUAGAUAGUAGGCGGGGUAACGGCCCACCUAGUCUUCGAUGGAUAGGGGUUCUGAGAGGAAGGUCCCCCACAUUGGAACUGAGACACGGUCCAAACUCCUACGGGAGGCAGCAGUGAGGAAUAUUGGUCAAUGGGCGAGAGCCUGAACCAGCCAAGUAGCGUGAAGGAUGACUGCCCUAUGGGUUGUAAACUUCUUUUAUAAAGGAAUAAAGUCGGGUAUGGAUACCCGUUUGCAUGUACUUUAUGAAUAAGGAUCGGCUAACUCCGUGCCAGCAGCCGCGGUAAUACGGAGGAUCCGAGCGUUAUCCGGAUUUAUUGGGUUUAAAGGGAGCGUAGAUGGAUGUUUAAGUCAGUUGUGAAAGUUUGCGGCUCAACCGUAAAAUUGCAGUUGAUACUGGAUAUCUUGAGUGCAGUUGAGGCAGGCGGAAUUCGUGGUGUAGCGGUGAAAUGCUUAGAUAUCACGAAGAACUCCGAUUGCGAAGGCAGCCUGCUAAGCUGCAACUGACAUUGAGGCUCGAAAGUGUGGGUAUCAAACAGGAUUAGAUACCCUGGUAGUCCACACGGUAAACGAUGAAUACUCGCUGUUUGCGAUAUACUGCAAGCGGCCAAGCGAAAGCGUUAAGUAUUCCACCUGGGGAGUACGCCGGCAACGGCGAAACUCAAAGGAAUUGACGGGGGCCCGCACAAGCGGAGGAACAUGUGGUUUAAUUCGAUGAUACGCGAGGAACCUUACCCGGGCUUAAAUUGCAGAUGAAUUACGGUGAAAGCCGUAAGCCGCAAGGCAUCUGUGAAGGUGCUGCAUGGUUGUCGUCAGCUCGUGCCGUGAGGUGUCGGCUUAAGUGCCAUAACGAGCGCAACCCUUGUUGUCAGUUACUAACAGGUUCCGCUGAGGACUCUGACAAGACUGCCAUCGUAAGAUGUGAGGAAGGUGGGGAUGACGUCAAAUCAGCACGGCCCUUACGUCCGGGGCUACACACGUGUUACAAUGGGGGGUACAGAGGGCCGCUACCACGCGAGUGGAUGCCAAUCCCCAAAACCUCUCUCAGUUCGGACUGGAGUCUGCAACCCGACUCCACGAAGCUGGAUUCGCUAGUAAUCGCGCAUCAGCCACGGCGCGGUGAAUACGUUCCCGGGCCUUGUACACACCGCCCGUCAAGCCAUGGGAGCCGGGGGUACCUGAAGUGCGUAACCGCGAGGAGCGCCCUAGGGUAAAACUGGUGACUGGGGCUAAGUCAUAA